rnacentral:rRNA from 1 species
UACGUAGGUGGCAAGCGUUGUCCGGAUUUACUGGGCGUAAAGGGAGCGUAGGCGGAUAUUUAAGUCAGAUGUGAAAGCCCCGAGCUUAACUCGGGAACUGCAUUUGAUACUGUUGGGCUAGAGACCGGGAGAGGAUAGCGGAAUUCCCAGUGUAGAGGUGAAAUUCGUAGAUAUUGGGAAGAACACCAGUGGCGAAGGCGGCUAUCUGGACCGGUACUGACGCUGAGGUGCGAAAGCGUGGGGAGCAAACAGG